rnacentral:rRNA from 1 species
UACGGAGGGAGCUAGCGUUGUUCGGAAUUACUGGGCGUAAAGCGCGCGUAGGCGGCUUUGUAAGUUAGAGGUGAAAGCCUGGAGCUCAACUUCAGAAUUGCCUUUAAGACUGCAUCGCUUGAAUCCGGGAGAGGGAUGCGGAAUUCCAGGUGUAGCGGUGAAAUGCGUAGAUAUCUGGAGGAACACCGGUGGCGAAGGCGGCAUCCUGGACCGGUAUUGACACUGAAAAGCGAAAGCCAGGGGAGCAAACGGG